GUUAGGGAUUUGGGGAACCUAAUUGGGUUGUACACAGAGUGACACUCUCAUUUGCUGCCCAAUUACUCAUUCGAUCAGUUUGUGCAUGAAGUGGAACAAGUGGUGGCCACAAAAAGAGUCAAGUGCAGCUGCCACAGAAACUGAGUAUAUCUGCCGUUGGUAAGCGUGAGAAACUUAUGCGUAUGAUCAAGAACCCUAUGACACAGUAUUUACCUGUUAACUCCCGGAAAGUAGGACUCUCGUACAGUUCAGAGAAACUAGUUAGCAUUCAAAAAUAUGUUGCUGCUGCUGAAAACAAUAUGGACCUUGUUUUUGUGGAGUAUGGUGCAUAGAAGAAGGGAAGCUUUGACAAGAUGCUUGCAGAUGAUAACACUCACAGGGUUCAUAUUCUUGCUCACAUUUGCGCUGCUUGGCUAUGUGAGUAAAACUUUUCUGCCUAGAUAUAUUCACCAAGGUUGGAUUCAACUCCUCUUAGAUGGGUCAAUUCUGCUCAUGGAUUGCUACUUUUCCUAUACCAGGUUUGCUUAAAUCAUGUUCAAUUUAUGUGUUUGCGGUGCGCCUCUUGUAUUAAUUAACAUAACAUUAUGUGUACAUUGGGAUUUCUCCAUUUUGUUAUUGCCUACUCAUUGGAUAAUUAUCAGGUAGCUCAAGACUAAAUAAUAAAGGUUCGAUGUUGGACAAGGAGUUCAGAAGUUCAAAGCGGGCGACAGAGUUGUAGCAUUUCACCAUGUGAGAAGAGCCUUUGCUUCAGAAUUGGAAUGAACAGAGGUAGUAGAAGAAAAUGCUUACAACUGAAGCUGCUCAAGGCACAAGGUUGUGUUGACUACUUGUUUCUAUGUAAUUAGUCAAGAUAAUGCAUUGAUGAC